UGCCAGCCGCCGCGGUAAUACGGAGGGUGCAAGCGUUACUCGGAAUUACUGGGCGUAAAGAGCGUGUAGGCGGGUUUGUAAGUUGGAUGUGAAAUCCUAUGGCUCAACCAUAGAACUGCAUCCAAAACUGCUUACCUAGAAUGUGGGAGAGGUAGAUGGAAUUUCUGGUGUAGGGGUAAAAUCCGUAGAGAUCAGAAGGAAUACCGAUUGCGAAGGCGAUCUACUGGAACAUAAUUGACGCUGAGACGCGAAAGCGUGGGGAGCAAACAGGAUUAGAUA
rnacentral:rRNA from 1 species